rnacentral:misc_RNA from 1 species
GCCUUGUCGCCGUCUCCACCCCUCACUGAGCGCGUUACCGCCGUUACAGCCUUGCCGCUCUCCCGUAAGGCACCGUUGCGCACAUGUGCGGGUCCGUGCGCAGGUUUUACGCGUCGCUGCAAGUAAACAACGAAUCAUUAAACCGAGAAGAAACGUCCGUUUGGCGACUCGCGAAAGUCGGCGGGAAACCAGAUCAGCAGUCGGUAGGACAAUCGGAAAAGGGAGGGUGGGACCCCCAGUCGCUUUCCUGCUCUCUUCAAUCUGUGUGCCUGUCUGUCUGCUCCUCCCUCUACUCGUUAGACGGCCGUGCUGACGGUGCGCCAUCGUGUGUAGCCCGCCUCGUUGCUCGCCACUCGCCUCCAGCUUCUUUGUCUCCUUGAGGGCGCGUACCGUUCCGUUUCACGUCCAUCUCCUCGUGACUAACCACCCCCUCCUUCCUAGCUCAGCGGCCCUCACGUAAAAGGUGAAGCGCGUACGCAUACGCACACGACGGCACACGCAAUGUCUCAGACUGCCACCACGGCUGCGCAGUUUGUGCAGCCGCUGCUUGAUAAGCCGGUGGAGGUGACCUCGAUCAAGUACAGUCUCCUCUCUGAAGACACGAUCCACCGCCUCUCGGUCCUGCCCUGCCACCGCGUGAUCGGGACCGAAAAGAACUUCGGCGUCAACGAUGGCCGCCUUGGCCCGAGUGACCGCUUAUCGGUGUGCAACACCUGCGGUCAGCGCAGCAUCGAGUGCACUGGCCACGCCGGCCACAUCGACCUCGAGGUGCCCGUCUUCCACCUCGGCUACUUCUCUGCAGUCAUUCGAGUAUGCCGCACAAUCUGCAAGCGCUGCUCCAACGUGCUCCUCACGCGAGAGGAAAUGGAGUACUACCUGCACCGGCUGAGGUCCACGACACACGAGCCGCAGCAGCGCGCCGCCAUCAUCAAGGGCAUCCAGGAGGACGCCUACAAGACGCGCGUGUGCCUCAUGUGCGGUGGGCUGAACGGCACGGUGCGGCGGGUGCGGCCAAUGCGCAUCGUCCAUGAAAAGUACCUCGUCGAUUUGCGCCGCGGCGAGCAGGCGAAUGAGGACCCGACGGCGUUUUUCCAGGAGGAGCUGCGGUCUGCUGCGAUGCACAACUCGGAGGUGGGCGCGCACAAGGAGUUCGUACACGAGUUCCUGCACCCGCAGCGUGUGAAGGAGCUUUUUGAAGCGAUUCCGCGGGAGCAGGUGCCGUUGCUAGGCCUGCAACCUGGCACCAGUCCAUGCAGCCUUCUCAUCAGCACCUUGCUCGUCCCACCCGUGUGCGUGCGGCCGCGCGGCAUGUCGACGACGAACCACAUCCGCGAGGAUGACUUGACGACGCAGUACAACGAGAUUCUAAUCUGCUCUGACAUGAUGAGCGACGGCACAAACGACGCCGCGCGCAGCGUCGAGACGUGGGAGCUGCUGCAGACGCGUGUGGCGCGGCUGCUGGAUGCGGCGCUGCCGGGGUUUCCUUCGCACCUGCGCACCGUCGAGUGCAAGUCCUACGCGCAGCGCAUGAAAGGCAAGCAGGGCCGUUUCCGGGGCAACCUUAGCGGCAAACGCGUCGACUUCUCUGGACGGUCUGUCAUUUCACCCGACCCAAACCUUCGCAUCGACGAGCUUGCCGUGCCGCUGCGCGUCGCGCGUGUGCUGACGUACCCGCAGCGCGUCUUUGCUGGCAACAUCCAGCUCAUGCGCCGGCUCGUGCGCAACGGCCCGCACGUGCACCCGGGCGCCCUCACCGUUUACCUCUCGAAGGAGUGCUCGCGCAAGUCGCUGCGCAACGCCCGCGACCGUGAGGCCAUCGCCGCGCGCCUCAGCAUAGGCGACGUCGUGGAGCGGCACGUGAUGAACGGCGACUACAUCCUCUUCAACCGCCAGCCGUCGCUCCACCGCAUCUCGCUCAUGGCGCACCGCGCGCGCGUGCUGCCCUUCCGCACAUUCCGGUUCAAUGAGUGUUGCUGCGCGCCGUACAACGCCGACUUCGACGGAGACGAGAUGAACAUUCACGUUGUGCAGACGGAGGAGGCCCGCGCAGAGGCGAAGGAGCUGAUGCUGACGUCGCACAACAUCAUCACUGCCAAGAACGGUGAGCCCAUCAUCGCGUGCACGCAGGACUUUCUGACCGCCGCCUACCUGGUGACCGCCCGUGACGCUCUUUUCGACCGUGCUUCCUUCACGCAGAUGGUGUCCCACUGGCUUGGCAACGAGACCCAGUACACGCUGCCGAUUCCAGCCAUCCUGAAGCCGGCGGAGCUGUGGACCGGCAAGCAGCUCUUCGAGCUCAUCCUUCGGCCAACGCCAGAGACGCAGCUGCUGCUGAACUUGGAAGCGAAGGCUCGCUUUUACUCUGGUGCUGGCCGGCACGACGAUCCGGCGGAGGGGUAUGUGGCGUUCCUCGACUCCGUCUUUCUCUCCGGCCGACUCGACAAGAAGCUGCUGGGUGGCGGCGCCAAGGACGGGCUCUUUGCCCGCCUCUACGCUCUGGGCGGAGGGGAGCAGACGGCGACGUGCAUGUCGCGCAUCGCGCAGUUCACCGCCCGCUACCUUCAGAACUACGGCUUCUCCCUUGGUCUCGGUGAUGUGUCGCCAACGCCGUCGCUCAACGAGAAGAAGGCCGCCGUGCUGGCUGUGUCGUUCGACAAGUGCGAUCGUCUCAUCUCUCUCGCCAAGACGGGCCGGCUCAUCCCCAAGCCUGGGAUGAGCGUGAAGCAGAGCCUGGAGGCGAUGCUGAACGCGGAGCUGUCGCAGGUGCGUGACGCGUGUGGCUCGGCCGCCGUGCAAGCGCUGGAUGCCAAGUCGAACGCACCUCUUAUCAUGGUGAAUUCUGGGAGCAAAGGCAGCGCCCUCAACACUGCACAGAUGAUGGCGUGCGUGGGGCAGCAGACGGUCAGCGGCAAACGCAUCAUGAACGCCUUCCAGGACCGCGCCCUGCCGCACUUCCCGCGUUUCGCCGAAGACCCCGCGUCGCGCGGCUUCGUGGCCAGCUCCUUCUACUCUGGCCUGUCGCCGACGGAGUUCUUCUUCCAUGGCAUGGCUGGUCGCGAGGGUAUUGUCGAUACAGCCGUCAAGACCGCAGAGACUGGCUACAUCUACCGCCGCCUCAGCAAGGCCAUGGAGAACCUGAGCGUUGGCUACGACGCCUCUGUGCGUAGCGUGCAGGGAAGCAUUGUUCAGCUGCGGUACGGCGAGGAUGGCAUGGACCCGUGGCUGAUGGAGGGGGCGCACGGCACGCCACUUAACCUCGAUCAGGAGUGGCUCAGCAACCGUGCCGCCUACGCCCGCUUUCGAAAGCACAUCGACAAUGUCUUGAGCGUGGGAGGGGGCAGUGGUGGGCUGGCCGCAUCAGCGGAUCCGCUCCUCCGAACGUACCGCAGGCUCUACGAUGAAUGGCACGCCGUGUCCAUGCUCCCUGGCGAGCUGGACACCUUCGUGCAUCACCUGCUGCACGCGGAUGAGGCGACGCUCGCCUCCUGCGCGCGCCUGAUGAAGGCGGAGGCGGCGAUACGCGGUGCGGCGCCGUCGUCUGCGGCCGCCGGUCUGCAGUUGUUACAGCAGCUCGCGCAGCAGCACGGCAGCGACCGCCUGCGCAGCGACAUUCAGGCGUUCUUCCGCAAGAAGCGCGACGAGCUGGUGCAGCUGCGGCAGAAACUGAAGCUACCCCUGGACGCCCAUGCCCCUGCGGCCGCUGAGCUUGCAGCGGCGAGCGCUAAGGCAGUUCGUGGCGGGGAAAAGCGCAAGCCAAGUCCACACAACGGCGUGCAGCCAUCCGUCAAAGCCGAUGCGUCGGCCAGCGCAGCUGCCGUGCAGGCGUUUGCAGAGUCGCUUCAGGCCGAGCUGCUGCCACUCACCAAAGGCAUGCUGCUUCACUUCCUCGAGGCUUCAGCGCGCAAGGUGCACCGCAAGCUGUGCGAGCCCGGCACGCCGUGCGGCGCCAUCGCCGCUCAGUCUGUGGGUGAGCCGAGCACACAGAUGACGCUCCGCACGUUCCACUUUGCAGGUGUGGCCAGCAUGAGUAUCACGCAGGGUGUGCCGCGCCUCGUGGAAAUCAUCAAUGCCAACAAGAGCAUCGCCACUCCGGUCAUCACGGCUCCCAUUGUGCUAGAGGACGAAUUCACGUCGAUAGACCUCGCGCCGGCGAGUCGUACGCAGUACCAAGCCGCGCGCGCGGUGAAGGGUCUGAUGGAACGGGUGCUGCUGAAGGAGAUCGCACGCGAAAUGGUUGAGGUUGUGACGCCGCGGGCGUAUUACAUUCACAUCUUCCUCAACAUGGAGCUCAUCGAGCGCCUCCUGCUGCCAAUCGAUGCGGCGGUGGUGUGCCAGCGGCUCUACGCGGCGGCCGCGCGGCCAAUGUCGCCGCUGCGCCAUCUCUCCGAGGCGUGCGUCGACGUGGUGAGCCGCGAUUCCCUCGUCGUCAAGUCCUAUGAGAAGGACCCCGCGCGGGUGCAUUUUAACGUUCAGCACCUGCUCACCCUCCUGCCCGAUCUCGUGGUCGGUGGCGUCCCAGGCGUCAACCGCGUCAUGAUUGCCGACCGCUCGGAGAAGCUGCUGGCGGAGGGAGCGGAGCUCUUGUCGGUCAUGUCGCUGCCGUACGUGGAUGGUGUGCGCACCACGUGCAACCACGUCGCCGUCAUAGAGCGCGCGCUCGGCAUCGAGGCCGCCCGCGAGACCAUCGUGAAGGAAAUUACGAGCAUCUUGCAAGCCUAUUCGCUCAACAUCGACAUUCGGCACAUCUACCUCCUGGCCGACGUGAUGACGAGUCGCGGCGUUGUUCUCGGCAUCACUCGAUACGGCAUCCAAAAGAUGAACAACAACGUCCUCACCAUGGCGUCCUUCGAGCGCACCACGGAGCACUUGUACAAUGCGGCGAUGACGGAGAGGGAGGACGUCAACCUCAGCGUCUCCGAAAGCAUCAUCAUUGGCAAGCCGAUCCCCCUCGGCACCAGCAGCUUCAACAUCCUGCUCGACAAGGGCAGCAUUGCGCCACCCGGCUCCAACACGGGCCGAAUGCCGUCGCCCCGGCGCAGCGCCCACGUAGCAGCCACAGCGGCGGCGGCCUUGAAGUCGUCCGGCAAGGCUGCGGUGGCCGGCAAGCACAGCAAGAAGGUGGAGCCGACGCCGAAGGAGGUGUUCCUGCGCAGCUCUUUCAUGGCGUACGCCGCCGCGCACGGGGCGGCGACGCAUCGAGGUCUGCGUGGCUGCUUUUCGAGUCGGUCCCUCUCCGCCGAGGGCGUCUUCCGGCUGGACCUCUUCGCGUUGUGAUAUCUCUAGAAAGCUUCGCUACUGCUUCAUCACCGCCGCCGUGCCUCCAAUUCACUGACCUCUCCCCUCCCCGCCCACACACACACACACAUAUAUAUGUGCGCCUGGUGACGCUGUGAACGUGAGCGUUCAACACCCGUCACCGCAUGACGCCUUUGUCGUUGUCUAAAUUUUGAAUUGAGCAAAAAGGUGAACGACGUUGCUUUCACUGAUGCCUGCGUGCACUCCUCUACGGCGGCACGUAUUUACGUCGACUCG